UUUCCGGCAGUCGACACGCUCUUCGCUUCUCGGGGCUUGUCUCCGUGUCCUCCGUCUCAGUUGUUUCUCCCUCUCUAUCCUCCUCUGUCUCAGUCUCCCCAGCCUUGGGGCCGGUGCCUCUUCCGGGCUUCGGCGAAUGAGACCUGCGGACCUGCCCCCGCGCCCCAUGGAAGAAUCCCCGGCGUCCAGCUCUGCCCCGACAGAGACGGAGGAGCCGGGGUCCAGUGCAGCACCUGAUUUGUGUGAAACGUUUUGGGUGGCAAUGCCAGAAUCACCAUCUAUAUUACUUCUGUCAUCAACACGAUCAGCAUAAUUACAAAAAUUAAUGGCUCUAAUUGUUAUAGUGAUAAUAAAGCAUAAAUGAAAUUGUGAGGACAUCAAAAUUUAUAAUUAAAGACACCUAUUAAAACAGCAGUUUAAAAUUUAUAAAA
rnacentral:lncRNA from 10 species